rnacentral:rRNA from 1 species
UACGUAGGUGGCAAGCGUUGUCCGGAUUACUGGGCGUAAAGAGCGCGCAGGCGGUCGGCCAAGUCGAGUGUGAAAGCCCCCGGCUCAACUGGGGAGGGUCAUUCGAUACUGGUCGACUCGAAGGCAGGAGAGGGAAGCGGAAUUCCCGGUGUAGUGGUGAAUUCGUAGAUAUUCGGCAAGAACACCAGUGGCGAAGGCGGCUGACUGGUCCGGUUCUGGCACGCUGAGGCGCGAAAGCGUGGGAGCAACAGG